GGAGCUGCAUGAAGGCCAGGAAGGAGCGGCCCUGGGAGCUGCCGGCAGCUGAGGCUGCCAGGGAGAGCGGCACGGGGAGCCAAACGGCUGUGGCAGAGCAGCGGGAGCAGGCGGGGGAGGAGCGGAGCAGGGCGGUAGCUGAGCAGGGGGAUCACGCAGCGGGGAAGUUGAGUCCCGCGGCCGUUCCCGACCUUCUGACGACCGAGAGUGUCCCCCGGAAGUCGCCCGCCGACCCCCAGCAGGAUGCAGGAGACUACACAGCACUUCCCAGCAAGGCAGAGGAGGAGGAUCCGGACUCGGGAGAAGAGAAGCUGAUAGUGGGAGAGCUGGCAAGCACGGCAGCUACAUCAGCCCCAGUGACAAGUGCAGCAGCAUCAUCUGAGAGUUCUGACGGUUAUGAAUGGCUUUUGGGUGCCCUUGGGACCUGCCUGCUGAUUGUGAUGGUUUUCGGCAUGGUGGCACACACACAGAGUGUGUUCCAUCCACAACCAUUUUGUCUGAUCCCAAAAGUUAAGCAGAGUCAGGUUUGGGUCUUGUCUAGGGUUAGACAAGGAUAUAGGAGCAUCAGGAGACUGUCCCCAAGUCUGGACAGUCAUGAGUGGCAGGGCAUGUGGGACAGUAUAGCCGGGUAUCUGAUCCACUGGGCCCCUCCAGUGCUUUGGAAGCAUUGGAGGUGGAAGGCAGCUGUAUGGAGUCCCCAGCAGCAAGCUGUAGAACUGCUGAAGGGGACGGUGAAUGAUUUUGGUGGGCCCAGAUACUUCAGGCUAUCAGUCCAGAGAUGCAACUUAGAGAUGUCUCAUGAUCGAGGGGUGGACUUAAGAGUGAUGGUGUAUUGAAAAUGUGGGAUCUGGGCAUGACGUGAAUGGUAUGGAAUAAGGGGUGGAUAAUGUCAUGGUUUGAGCAUGUUUUGAGGGUAUUUUUUGUUCAAGGUUUUUUUUUUUUUCCAGCCAGGUGGGAGGGGAGUCCGGGAGGAAGGAGAGACAGGACACCUGACCCAGGCUAGUCAAUGAGGUAUUCCAUACCAUAGCACGUGAUGCCCAGGAUGCAUACUGGGAAAGAGAAAGCUGGAGGGGGGAGCUCUGGAGGAAAAUGGAGGAGGGAGCACAUGGUGCUCGGCCGGGCAGGGUGGAGUGAGUUAUGGGUCGGUGGCUGGUGGGG
rnacentral:lncRNA from 14 species